AUGAUCAUCUGAGCCUUCAGCAAGUCAUAAUCUUUUUGUAGGUGGAAGGCCCUGUCUCAAUAUUGAUAGCUGCUGACUAGGGCAGUGAUGGCUGAAAAUUGAGAAGUCUGUGGGAAUUUCUUAAAAUAAGACAACAAUGAAUUUUGCUGCAUCAGUUGACACUUCCUUUCAUGAAAGAUCUCCUUGUAGUAUUUCAUGCUGUUCGAUAACAUUGUCCCCACAGUAGAACUUUGAAAACUGGCCUAAAUCCUCUCAAAACCUGCUGCUGCUUUAUCAGCUAAGUUUAUGUAAUAUUUCAAAUCCUUUGUUGUCACUUCAACAAUGUUCACAGCAUCUUCACCAGAAGUAUACUGCAUGUCAACAAACUAUUUUCUUUGCUUAUUUAUAGAAGCAACUCUUCAUCUGUUCAAGUUUUAUCAUGAGAUUGUGGCAAUUCAGUCCCCUCUUCAGGCUUCACUUUUAAUUCUCUUGCUGUUUUCAGCAAAUCUGCAGUGACUUCCUCCACUGAAGUUCUGAACCCCUCAAAUUCAUCCAUGAGGGUUUGAAUCAACUUCUAUCAAACUUCCAUUAAGCUUUAUUUCUUCUGAAUGGAUAUCACCUGUGAGUUCUGUGACACAACUUUACAUUUAUUUGUGUCCUACAUCUCACUCUGCUAUGACAUUUUAUUCUCUUAGGCUUUGCAAUAGAACUCAUCCUCAUCAUCAAACACAGAAUAUUUAUAUUGGUUUAUGCACUCAUUUACUUUGAAUAUAUACAGAAAAUGAGGAAUCACUGGAUCAUAAAAUAGGUAUAUGUUUAAUUAGAAACUUCUAAACAGUUGUUCAAAAUUGUAGCAUAAUUUUACGCUCGUAGUAGUAAUGUAUGAACAUUCCAAUUUCCUUACACUUACAUAAAUAUUUAGUAUAGGAAAUAAUUUUAUCUUUAACAGUUCUAUUUUGUUUUAGCCAGUUGUUCUCUCCUUACAGAUGUUAGUUGACCUUUUCUUGAGAGCAAGUUUUUAUAUACUUAUUGGCCACUUUUGAGUAUCUUUCUGAUGAAAUGUCUCUUUAGAUA